rnacentral:tRNA from 2 species
GUCCACAUAGCUUAACACAAAGCAUGG